rnacentral:rRNA from 1 species
CAAUAAGCGGAGGAAAAGAAACCAACAGGGAUUGCCUUAGUAACGGCGAGUGAAGCGGCAAAAGCUCAGAUUUGAAAUCUGGUGUCAUUUUGGCAUCCGAGUUGUAGUCUGUAGAGGUGUAUUCGAGUGUAGCUUUGGCUUAAGUUCCUUGGAACAGGACGUCAUAGAGGGUGAGAACCCCGUUAACGGCCUUUGUCUUAUGCUCAUGUGAAUCUCCUUCAACGAGUCGAGUUGUUUGGGAAUGCAGCUCUAAAUGGGUGGUAAAUUCCAUCUAAAGCUAAAUACUGGCAAGAGACCGAUAGCGCACAAGUAGAGUGAUCGAAAGAUGAAAAGAACUCUGAACAGAGAGUUAAAUAGUACGUGAAAUUGUUGAAAGGGAAGCACUUGCAACCAGACGCACUUGCAGCCGAUCAAUUCUCAUUUUUGAGGGUGCACUCGGUUGUCUGUGGGUCAGCAUCAGUUAUGGUGGUAGGAAAAAGACUUGGGGAAUGUAGCUUCUUUCGGGGAGUGUUAUAGCCUUUUGUGCAAUGCUGCCUGCUGUGACUGAGGACCGCGCUUUGGCGAGGAUGCUGACAUAAUGGUUGUAAGUGACCCGUCUUGAAACACGGACCAA